rnacentral:lncRNA from 1 species
CUCGCUCAUAAUCGUAAUAUGCACCAUUGCCUUUGAUUGUAUUAAUUAGGGUACCAAGGAAGAUAACGGAGGGUCGAAAUAAUAAAUGACUCGACAGAACGAACUAGCGCCCAGAUUUCUGCAAGAACCUCGGGAGUCUCACGUGCUCUCUUGCCAGGAAGAGCAGAAAUGGGCUAAAACAACAUUGUCCUCGUUAACUGUUGGCAUCAGGUGAAUACUGUGCCAGGGUCGCAUUAUUAAACCAACCAGGAUACAGAUCUACAAGGCAAACUAAAGGUUUCAACUGCUAUUCAGCGCCUCCUCAUUUGUCCCGGAGCCCUAACAGUGGUGCCUUUUCUUCCCUGGCUGCUUUCCCCUGCUUCUGGAGCAGCAGUUAUGGUAGAAGCAGAUGGCUACUGAUUGGCACUGAAGACAUUACCUGUGUCCCCAAAUUGCACCAAAGACAGUCAAGGAACAUGGUCCUUGGUCAUGGUAAGGUCCCAUCUGUAUUAUAUGCUUUUAACAAUGAUUGGAGAUAAUGUAACCAGGGCCCU